UACGAAGGGAGCUAGCGUUGUUCGGAAUUACUGGGCGUAAAGCGCACGUAGGCGGACCUGUCAGUCAGGGGUGAAAUCCCAAGGCUCAACCUUGGAACUGCCUCCGAUACAGCAAGUCUUGAGAUCGGGAGAGGUGAGUGGAAUUCCUAGUGUAGAGGUGAAAUUCGUAGAUAUUAGGAAGAACACCAGUGGCGAAGGCGGCUCACUGGCCCGAUACUGACGCUGAGGUGCGAAAGCGUGGGGAGCAAACAGG
rnacentral:rRNA from 1 species